UACGGAGGGAGCAAGCGUUACUCGGAAUUAUUGGGCGUAAAGGGCGUGUAGGCGAUUUGAAAAGUCUUGUGUGAAAGCCCCGAGCUUAACUCGGGAAGUGCACAAGAAACUGUUGAAUUUGAGUUCCGGAGAGGAAGGCAGAAUUCCCGGUGUAGCGGUGAAAUGCGUAGAUAUCGGGAGGAAUACCAGUGGCGAAGGCGGCCUGCUGGGCGGAUACUGACGCUGAGGCGCGAAAGCCAGGGGAGCAAACGGG
rnacentral:rRNA from 1 species